rnacentral:rRNA from 1 species
AUACGGAGGAUCCGGGCGUUAUCCGGAUUUAUUGGGUUUAAAGGGUGCGCAGGCGGGAGAUUAAGUCGGCGGUGAAAUUUUGCAGCUCAACUGUAAAAGUGCCUUCGAUACUGGUUUCCUUGAGUGUGGAUGAAGUAGGCGGAAUUUGUGGGGUAGCGGUGAAAUGCUUAGAUAUCACGAGGAACUCCGAUUGCGCAGGCAGCUUACUAAACCACUACUGACGCUCAGGCACGAAGGCGUGGGGAUCAAACAGGAUUAGAUACCCUGGUAGUCCACGCAGUAAACGAUGAUUACUGGCUGUUUGCGAUACAAUGUAAGCGGCUGAGCGAAAGCGUUAAGUAAUCCACCUGGGGAGUACGUUCGCAAGAAUGAAACUCAAAUGAAUUGACGGGG